rnacentral:rRNA from 1 species
CAGUCGCCGCGGUAAUACGUAGGGUGCAAGCGUUAAUCGGAAUUACUGGGCGUAAAGCGUGCGCAGGCGGUUAUAUAAGACAGAUGUGAAAUCCCCGGGCUCAACCUGGGAACUGCAUUUGUGACUGUAUAGCUAGAGUACGGCAGAGGGGGAUGGAAUUCCGCGUGUAGCAGUGAAAUGCGUAGAUAUGCGGAGGAACACCGAUGGCGAAGGCAAUCCCCUGGGCCUGUACUGACGCUCAUGCACGAAAGCGUGGGGAGCAAACAGUAUUAGAUACCCGGGUAGUCCCUGUCUCUUAUAC